UGGGGGAAUUUUGGACAAUGGGGGAAACCCUGAUCCAGCCAUCCCGCGUGUGCGAUGAAGGCCUUCGGGUUGUAAAGCACUUUUGGCAGGAAAGAAACGUCGCGGGUUAAUACCCCGCGAAACUGACGGUACCUGCAGAAUAAGCACCGGCUAACUACGUGCCAGCAGCCGCGGUAAUACGUAGGGUGCAAGCGUUAAUCGGAAUUACUGGGCGUAAAGCGUGCGCAGGCGGUUCGGAAAGAAAGAUGUGAAAUCCCAGAGCUUAACUUUGGAACUGCAUUUUUAACUACCGGGCUAGAGUGUGUCAGAGGGAGGUGGAAUUCCNCGUGUAGCAGUGAAAUGCGUAGAUAUGCGGAGGAACACCGAUGGCGAAGCAGCCUCUGGGAUAACACUGACGCUCAUGCACGAAAGCGUGGGGAGCAAACAGGAUUAGAUACCCUGGUAGUCCACGCCCUAAACGAUGUCAACUAGUUGUUGGGGGAUUCAUUUCCUUAGUAACGUAGCUAACGCGUGAAGUUGACCGCCUGGGGAGUACGGUCGCAA
rnacentral:rRNA from 1 species